rnacentral:rRNA from 1 species
GACGAACGCUGGCGGCGUGCUUAACACAUGCAAGUCGAACGGAAAGGCCCUGCUUUUGUGGGGUGCUCGAGUGGCGAACGGGUGAGUAACACGUGAGUAACCUGCCCUUGACUUUGGGAUAACUUCAGGAAACUGGGGCUAAUACCGGAUAGGAGCUCCUGCUGCAUGGUGGGGGUUGGAAAGUUUCGGCGGUUGGGGAUGGACUCGCGGCUUAUCAGCUUGUUGGUGGGGUAGUGGCUUACCAAGGCUUUGACGGGUAGCCGGCCUGAGAGGGUGACCGGCCACAUUGGGACUGAGAUACGGCCCAGACUCCUACGGGAGGCAGCAGUGGGGAAUAUUGCACAAUGGGCGGAAGCCUGAUGCAGCAACGCCGCGUGCGGGAUGACGGCCUUCGGGUUGUAAACCGCUUUCGCCUGUGACGAAGCGUGAGUGACGGUAAUGGGUAAAGAAGCACCGGCUAACUACGUGCCAGCAGCCGCGGUGAUACGUAGGGUGCGAGCGUUGUCCGGAUUUAUUGGGCGUAAAGGGCUCGUAGGUGGUUGAUCGCGUCGGAAGUGUAAUCUUGGGGCUUAACCCUGAGCGUGCUUUCGAUACGGGUUGACUUGAGGAAGGUAGGGGAGAAUGGAAUUCCUGGUGGAGCGGUGGAAUGCGCAGAUAUCAGGAGGAACACCAGUGGCGAAGGCGGUUCUCUGGGCCUUUCCUGACGCUGAGGAGCGAAAGCGUGGGGAGCGAACAGGCUUAGAUACCCUGGUAGUCCACGCUGUAAACGGUGGGUACUAGGUGUGGGGUCCAUUCCACGGGUUCCGUGCCGUAGCUAACGCUUUAAGUACCCCGCCUGGGGAGUACGGCCGCAAGGCUAAAACUCAAAGGAAUUGACGGGGCCCCGCACAAGCGGCGGAGCAUGCGGAUUAAUUCGAUGCAACGCGUAGAACCUUACCUGGGUUUGACAUGGAUCGGGAGCGCUCAGAGAUGGGUGUGCCUCUUUUGGGGUCGGUUCACAGGUGGUGCAUGGCUGUCGUCAGCUCGUGUCGUGAGAUGUUGGGUUAAGUCCCGCAACGAGCGCAACCCUUGUUCACUGUUGCCAGCACGUUAUGGUGGGGACUCAGUGGAGACCGCCGGGGUCAACUCGGAGGAAGGUGGGGAUGACGUCAAGUCAUCAUGCCCCUUAUGUCCAGGGCUUCACGCAUGCUACAAUGGCUGGUACAGAGAGUGGCGAGCCUGUGAGGGUGAGCGAAUCUCGGAAAGCCGGUCUCAGUUCGGAUUGGGGUCUGCAACUCGACCUCAUGGAGUCGGAGUCGCUAGUAAUCGCAGAUCAGCAACGCUGCGGUGAAUACGUUCCCGGG